rnacentral:tRNA from 1 species
CUCGCGUUAGCUCAGUCCGGAAUCAGAGCAUCUGCCUACGAAGCAGAGGGUCGGAAGUUCAAAUCUUUCACGCGAGG